CUCUGCUUGAAGAAACUGACAUUUUACUUUUUUUUUAUAAUCUCUUCGCUCACCUAAUUUUAUAAUUUACAAAAUAUACAAAGGAGUUAACUACGAGUAUUCAUAGAAAAAUUAAAGUGUUAGUGAAAAGCGAUAAAAUUUUGUUUCAAUCAAAAUAUAACUGAUGAUUGAGUAAGCCCCCUCACCACGUCAAGAUAAUUAUCAUUCAGAGUUGUUAUUAUUUUUUUUUUUUAAUUUUCAUGAUUUGAAUUUUGAUGAAAUUAUAUUAAAAAAUUUUUAAUUUAAUUGUGACUUGCUAAAAGAAAACGGUAAAAAUAAUAAGUAAUCGGAAGAAAGAUUUUUUUUCUUCUGAAAGACAGCUUCACUCAGCUCACUUUGUUUAUUAAAUACAAAAGAAGCACGUGAUUAAAGAUGCCGUUUCAGUACGACUAUACUAUCAUUGACAUGGUGAAUGUCGAACCAAUGUUGAUGCAAAAUUAGACAUAUAACGAUCGCUUGAAAUUCAUUUUAACUUUGAUAAUUUCCUAACAUACUCAGAUGAAUUCGAGUAAUAUCAUCACGUAUCGUUUAUGAUUUUUUUUUUGAACAAAUAUAAAACUUUGCGUUCGCUUAUCUAUGCUUCACAUAGUUCUAACGUUGAAAAUGGGGUCAUUUUUGAGAACAAAUUUCAAUUCGCAAUCAUUUGCAUUGAAGAAUAAUUUUAUCUUUUGAAUUUGUUUUCAUUGCAUCAUUUAAUGAACAAAUUACAUUUAACGGACAACGAAACCAAUUACUUUCAAAAUAAAUUACGGACGUAAGGCCAUUUAUUUAUUCUAACUAUUACGUUUGUUUUUUAUUUUGGUGAAAUGCAUGUUGUUCUCAUUCACAUACAAUGGUCAAUGUAAUCCACCAAUAUGAACUGUCAAAACACAUAACUCAAUAAAAGAGACGCUAACAACAUAAUAGCAACAUAAAAAUUGCUAUCUUUUCUGAAUAAUAAUUUUUUUGCAAAAAAAUGAAUAGUACAAACACUCUUCCCAAUGAUGGCGGAAAAGCUUCUGAUAGUGAAAAUUUGUCUUCAUCAGAAAAUAGCAGAAGACCUUCGGCAAAAAGACAAAAGAAAAAAUCAGAAGAUAAUGAAAAACGUUGAUUGAAAAUUUCAAAAGAUCUGUCUUGGAUAUUCAUGCAUUGCAUAAAAGGCUGAUAUUGAACGAUGAAAAAGAUGACCUUUUAGAAAUGAAACAAGCAUUGGAAAUUCAAAUUCCAAUUUUAAAAGCCUGGAAGGUUUCAUUGGCUGAAAUUUUGCUAGACAAUCCAUCAGAUGGACAAUAUCAAUCACCAAAACCAAAGAAAUCAUCGCCAAACCUAGCCAAGGAAAUUUAUUGCCCGGAUUCAAAUGGACUUGUUACAAAAGAUGUCAUCAGUGCAUUCAACGACAUUUCUAAUCACAUUGGGAAUCGGGUUAUUGCUGUAGGAAUGUGAGUGAAUGUUGAUAAACUGAUAAAAAGAAAUUCAAAACCGAAUUCUUCUAUUACCCACAGGGAUACAUCAGAUAAAAACUUCGAAAGACUUAAGGCCUUGAAGAAAGCGUUUGUUAUGUUGUGCCCGAUGUUAGAUGCUAUAUUGUAAGAAUAUUGAGAUGCAUCUUAUGAACAUAUCUCCCAGUCUUUUCAAAAUGUAGCAAACAUUGAACCAACAAAGAAAACAUAUAGCUCGUGUCGAACAAUUAAAAAUGGAUAAAAAGCAUAGCAACAGUCACUUUCAUCCGAGAAAGCCAAAAAAAUUUUGAAGUUACCCCCGACGAUUUUUAGAAAAUUCUCUACUCAGAAGCUAUGAUUGUUAGAUUUCUCUGUAAUUCAAUUUUCGAAUUUCAUUCAGUUAACGUUUACAGAAAGAAAAAAAAAGGCCAUUUGGAAUUGAAACAAAUCAAAAGUUUGUUUCUAUAUUUAUUCUAAUCAUGAAACAUAACACAUUACAUACUUUUACUAU